AACGUAGGUUCCGAGCGUUAUCCGGAUUUACUGGGCGUAAAGCGCGUUCAGGCGGUUUGGCAAGUCGGACAUGAAAUCUCUCGGCUCAACCGGGAGAGGUUGUCCGAUACUGCUGGACUUGAGGGCAGUAGAGGGUGGUGGAAUUCCGGGUGUAGUGGUGAAAUGCGUAGAUAUCCGGAGGAACACCAGUGGCGAAAGCGGCCACCUGGACUGUACCUGACGCUGACACGCGAAAGCUAGGGGAGCGAACGGG
rnacentral:rRNA from 1 species